rnacentral:pre_miRNA from 1 species
AUGUGAAUCACCAGGGUGUCUUGUUAAAAUGCAGAUUCUGGUUCAGUAGAUCUGGGACAGGACCUAAGAUUCUGCAUUUCUAGCAAGCUCCCAAGUGAUGCCCAU